rnacentral:rRNA from 1 species
CUCAGUUGAAGAGUGACCGUACCGCAAACCGACACAGGUGGGCAGGGUGAGAAUCCUAAGGCGCUUGAGAGAACUCUGGAGAAGGAACUCGGCAAAUUGACACCGUAACUUCGGGAAAAGGUGUGCCCCAAGUCAGUGAAGUCCCUCGCGGACGGAGCUAAAAGGGGGUUGCAGUGAAAAGGUGGCUGCGACUGUUUAACAAAAACACAGCACUGUGCAAACACGAAAGUGGACGUAUACGGUGUGACGCCUGCCCGGUGCCGGAAGGUUAAGUGAUGGGGUGCAAGCUCUUGAUCGAAGCCCCGGUAAACGGCGGCCGUAACAAUAACGGUCCUAAGGUAGCGAAAUUCCUUGUCGGGUAAGUUCCGACCCGCACGAAUGGCGUAACGAUGGCCACACUGUCUCCUCCAGAGACUCAGCGAAAUUGAAGUGUUUGUGAAGAUGCAAUCUCCCCGCGGCUAGACGGAAAGACCCCAUGAACCUUUACUGCAGCUUUGCAUUGGACUUUGACGGGACAUGUGUAGGAUAGGUGGGAGGCUGUGAAGCGGUGACGCUAGUCAUCGUGGAGCCAACCUUGAAAUACCACCCUUGUGUCUUUGAGGUUCUAUCCUAGACCCCUUAUCGGGGUCGGGGACCGUGCAUGGUGGGCAGUUUGACUGGGGCGGUCUCCUCCCAAAAGGUAACGGAGGAGCACGAAGGUUGGCUAGACAUGGUCGGAAAUCGUGUUGAUAGUGCAAGGGCAUAAGCCAGCUUAACUGCGAGACCCACAAGUCGAGCAGAUGCGAAAGCAGGUCCUAGUGAUCCGGUGGUUCUGUAUGGAAGGGCCAUCGCUCAACGGAUAAAAGGUACUCUGGGGAUAACAGGCUGAUUCCGCCCAAGAGUUCACAUCGACGGCGGAGUUUGGCACCUCGAUGUCGGCUCAUCUCAUCCUGGGGCUGUAGCCGGUCCCAAGGGUAUGGCUGUUCGCCAUUUAAAGAGGUACGUGAGCUGGGUUCAAAACGUCGUGAGACAGUUUGGUCCCUAUCUGCCGUGGGCGCCGGAGAUAUGACGGGGGCUGCUCCUAGUACGAGAGGACCGGAGUGGACGCACCUCUGGUGUACCGGUUAUCACGCCAGUGGUAUCGCCGGGUAGCUAAGUGCGGAAGAGAUAAACGCUGAAAGCAUCUAAGCGUGAAACUCGCCUGAAGAUAAGAUCUCCCGGAGGCUUGACCUCCUUGAAGGGUCGUUGAAGACCACAACGUUGAUAGGCUGGGUGUGGAAGCGCAGUAAUGCGUUAAGCUAACCAGUACUAAUUGCCCGUAAGGCUUGACCCA